CCUCAAUACCCUAAAAAUCAACUAAAAUUUUAAUUUGUAUUUUCCCACACACAUUGAGGUCCACUUGGUUCAUGGAUAUUGAUUUCUUGAGUAGUAAUAUUGGGGGUGUUGGGUGGGAUUUCUCUUGCUCAUAUUUUCAUGGCAAAAAUCAGCACAAGUUUCCAUUCUUUCUCACUCAUCCUCUUCCUAUUCUUGACCAUUAAUUUCCCAAAUUCAUCAAAAGGGAGACUGCUUCUGCAUUGCAAUAACUCUUGUAUGUUAAAACAACAAUCAUCUUCUUGCAAGAUAAGGCAAAAUGAAACUAGUACUGGUUUCAAGAAAAGGGCAUCUCAUCACCACACUUCCGUUGCUGCCACUAGAAAUUCGUUCCGUGCAGCUGCUCAUGAAGUUCCUAGCGGUCCGAAUCCAGAAUCCAAUUGAUUAUAUGUUCGAGUUUGCAUCGAUUUCUUGGCAUAUAUUUUGAGAAGAAUUAGGGUUUUGAAGAAGUUGCUGAUUUCUCAGGGUGGUUCAUUCUCAAUUACACAAGUAUGGGUUCCUUACUUCCCUUGCUAUGUUGGUGCAUAAUUUUAAUAUUCUACAUUGACAAACAAAUAUUCUUAGUUCAAAGAAUAGGUAUAAUUAUUUUUUUUUGUGUAAUAUUUUCAUGGAUUAAUGCCAAGCAAUGAUAUAAAUUAUACUAAGUACAGUACUUUAUAAUACCCCUUUCACAUUUGGUGAAUUUCAUGUGAUCAAACUAUGAGAAGGCUAUUUCAAGAAUCUUUGGUGGCAGUGAUUUAGAAAUGAAAAAAGAUGAGAAGUCAAUAGUGAAGUGUUGUCUUCAUGCAAACUCAUUUUUUGAUUGGUUAAAUCUUCUGAGUUGUUUUUUUUGGCAUUGUUGAAAAUUAUUAUGAGUAUGAUGCUAUGAGCUAUGGAUUUUUGUGUUUGUCCUGUAAAAAGGUGGCCCAGGAGCCUAUGGGGGCUCCAGACAAAAAAGAAAGUGAUUUGAUAUGAUGAUUUGCAUAAAUAUAA